AUGAGGUUCCCUGCUCAGUUUCUGGGUCUGCUGAUGUUCUGCAUCCCAGGAUCCAAAAGUUAUGCUGUGAUGACCCAGAGUCCAAUCUCCGUGUCCAUCGUCAAGGGAGAUCCAGCCUCUAUCUCCUGCAAGUCUAGUGACAGCCUCCUAGAGAGUAAUGGAUACAGCUAUCUGAACUGGUACCAUCAGAAGCCAGGCCAACCUCCAAGGCUCCUGUUCUAUCUAGUUUCUAACCGACAGCCUGGGGUUCCAGACAGGUUCAGUAGCAGUGGGUCAGGGAAAGACUUCACUCUUCAGAUUAGCAGGAUGGAGCCUGAGGAUGUUGGCGUUUACUACUGCAUGCAAAGUAAAUGGGUACCUCUCACAGUGAUACAGCCCAGAACAAAAACCACCCUGCCUGGCCUGCCCCAGAUGGCCACACGUGUUCUUUGCUGGUGA